rnacentral:rRNA from 1 species
UACGUAGGGGGCGAGCGUUGUCCGGAGUUACUGGGCGUAAAGCGCACGCAGGCGGUCUGCUAAGUUUGGAGUGACAGUUGGUGGCUUAACUGCCAAAGUGCUUCGAAAACUGACAGACUUGAGGGCUUCAGAGGGACACGGAAUUCCGGGUGGAGUGGUGAAAUGCGUAGAGAUCCGGAGGAACACCAAAGGCGAGGGCAGUGUCCUGGGGAGUACCUGACGCUCAGGUGCUAAAGCCAGGGGAGCGAACGGG